UUAUUUAUAUCAAACAUACUGUUCUUAGACUAAGGCUCCGAAUGAUGACUGCGUUUUGCAGUGCGGGAGAAGUAAAGUGCGGUUUAAAUAGUAACAAAAAUACAUAGAUACAUAUGUAUACGUAGAAAUUUUGAUACUGUUAUAUCACUGUUGCGGUGCAGUUUUAGGUGCGGUUUUAGUCACCAUUCAGACCCUAAAUGUAAUGUGACCAAUGAAAAUAGGUCUUCCUGAAUAAACAAGGUCAAACUCACCGAUGGUUUAGAAUUUACUCAAAAUAGUCCA
rnacentral:sRNA from 1 species